CAGUCGCCGCGGGAAUACGAAGGGGGCUAGCGUUGUUCGGAAUUACUGGGCGUAAAGCGCACGUAGGCGGAUCGAUCAGUCAGGGGUGAAAUCCCAGGGCUCAACCCUGGAACUGCCUUUGAUACUGUCGAUCUGGAGUAUGGAAGAGGUGAGUGGAAUUCCGAGUGUAGAGGUGAAAUUCGUAGAUAUUCGGAGGAACACCAGUGGCGAAGGCGGCUCACUGGUCCAUUACUGACGCUGAGGUGCGAAAGCGUGGGGAGCAAACAGGAUUAGAUACCCCUGUAGUCCCUGUCUCUUAUAC
rnacentral:rRNA from 1 species